GCUGGCUGUUCAUUUUCAUCAAAUUCUGUAACGUUUUUCUUCAACCAAGUUAGUUUCGGCAUUGUAAAUCAAUUAACACCAAGCACUAACACUCAAUUGAAAACAUAAAAUAACGGGAGUGUUUACCACGACGGAGUUAACUAAACUUUAUUUUUGAUGGUCGAGAAGGACAAAUUAAUAAUCGAGUUAUACUUAAACAUGAAUUCAUUGUUAUAAUUACAGAAAAUCAGGUUAGGAGCGCCAUUUAGAGAGGGGAGCUGGAUGUGCGGUUUCGCUGUGGAACCGUCACCAGUCGCUUUUAAAGAAACUUGACAAUUUGUUCAUUAAUGAAAAUUUUACCAAUUACAAUGACAACAAAAUAAAGGGUUUUUCAUCGCAUAAAAAAGUAAAUUUAUAUUUACGCACUUCUAUAGACGAUGAUUAAAGACGAAAUGAUUUUAUAUGGAAUGUUGAAUGUUGAAAUACAAGUACAAUAAAUAAUAUCGAUUUAGAAAAAGCUGUAGAUGUGUUUGCUGCACUUAAAAUCCACUCUUAUAUAAUAAUAAUACAUUUUUCUUUCUAAGUUUUGCUUGUUCUUUUUUUUACUACAUUCGUCAUCUUCAACAUUCGAAUUCCUUGGUUUUCACAGGUAAAUUAUUAACUAUUUAUAAUUUUUUAGAUUUUAAAUCGUUUUUACUAGUUAUGUUUAUUGCGAUUCAUAAUGUAUUGAAAUAAUUAAAAGCUGGCUAAUACACACAUAUGUAUAUGUAUCCAUGCAAAUAUGAACCGGGUUGUUUGAAACCUCGAACACCCGAAAAAAAACAACUGAAAUGAUGUCUCUGAACUAGACAGAAUAAAGUUUCCCAAUGUCUUGAUAAGUAGUAUUUUAAUCUUUUAUCCGCCGAACUGGAUGUAACGACGAUAGCAUUAUUUCCCUCGGUUCGGCCUACCAUUUUAAACGAAGCCACUUUUCAGAGGGUGAAGCAAAAUUUAUGCCGACACCUAUAGGUGUAUACCUGCUUCGCGGCUUGCCUCGCCGUCUCGUCUUCUACCUUCCUCGCCAUUCAUCGGUUCAACCACGGCGAAGAAGAUCUCUCGGCCGCGGCUUGCCGCAACCAAAAGUCUGACAGGAUUGUUGCGUAGUCCUUUGGGACCUCACAACAGAUACAUGGUGUCCUAUGGCCGACGACCUCGACCAUCGAGGAACACCCGUCCGCGCCCUAGUACACGCAUGCGGGACUAGGCAGCCAUCCGAUCCAGUGAAGAGAGUGGUCGAAACAUCCAUGACCGACUAUGACCUGGGUUGAAUGCAACGUUAUCGGUCCAUUUUCACUGAUAUCCGAAAUCAGCCACCUGGUCCACCCUGCUCCUGUCGAGAAGUAUUAUUCU